AGCAGCCGCGGUAAUUCCAGCUCCAAUAGCGUAUAUUAAAGUUGUUGCAGUUAAAAAGCUCGUAGUUGAAUUUCGGGAUUGGCAUAUCGGUCGUGUCUUCGGAUAUGUACUGGUAGUUGUCAAUCUCCACCUUCUAGUGAACUAUUAUGCCUUUCACUAGGUGUAAUAGGGAGCUAGGACUGUUACUUUGAAAAAAUUAGAGUGUUUAAAGCAGGC
rnacentral:rRNA from 1 species